rnacentral:rRNA from 1 species
UGAGGAAUAUUGGGCAAUGGAGGAAACUCUGACCCAGCCAUGCCGCGUGAGUGAAGAAGGUUUUCGGAUUGUAAAGCUCUUUCGCACGGGACGAUGAUGACGGUACCGUGAUAAGAAGCCCCGGCUAACUUCGUGCCAGCAGCCGCGGUAAUACGAAGGGGCAAGCGUUGUUCGGAAUUACUGGGCGUAAAGGGAGUGUAGGCGGUUAUGUAAGAUAGCGGUGAAAUGCCGGGGCUCAACCUCGGAAUUGCCGUUAUAACUAUGUAACUAGAAUGAUAGAGAGGAUAGCGGAAUACCCAGUGUAGAGGUGAAAUUCGUAGAUAUUGGGUAGAACACCGGUGGCGAAGGCGGCUAUCUGGCUAUAAAUUGACGCUGAGGCUCGAAAGCAUGGGGAUCAAACAGGAUUAGAUACCC